rnacentral:tRNA from 1 species
GCCUGGCUGGCUCAGUGAGGGGGAGCGUGUGACUCUUGAUCUCAAGGUUGUGAGUUCAAGCCCCAUGUUGGGUG